rnacentral:rRNA from 1 species
AAUACGUUCCCGGAUCUUGCACACACCGCCCGUCAAGCCAUGGAAGUGGGUGUACCUUAAGACGAUAACCGCAAGGAUUUGUCCAAGGUAAACUCGUAACUGGGCU